AUGUUGCACACACGCACACACACGCACACGCACACGCGCACACACGCGCACACACAAAGCCAUCAUAAAAACAGACCGAGUUUCGGGACGUCUCUGGCGGGCAGGCCGCGCACCAGCACACUCAGGUCACAUGGCCUCUCCCGUCAUCACCAAGAUGUGCAUGUGUGCUACCCCUCCGUUGGCGCGAGCUCAUCUCUGGAAUGUUCCAGGGAGGCACUGCACGAGGGAAAGCGUCCCAGCACCGGCUGUGCUCCAGAGGACACGGUAAGUAACGGCCGCGAGUUGGGGAGGUGGAGAGGGGACACGGGAGGGGAGGACAGGGGACGGGAAGAGCCCACCAGGCCGAGAGCAAUGGCAGGCGCAGAGGGAUCCGGGCUGACGGAAGGUCCCGCCGGGGGAGCCGCGUGGCGGAUGCCCGUCCGUGGUGCCCGGUGGGAGCCCAGGGGGAGGGGCCGCGGUUCCCGGGCACCGGACGGGAGACGAGGGGGCGGCUGCAGGAACGGGGUCGACCCGAGUAGGGAGGUGGAGGCGUCGUCCCAAGGCCCCGCUAACGAGCCUCACAAGUACCACCGCGUCUGCACCACUGACAGACUUGCCCGUCUCUCUGUUUGCUUUCGGAAAGCGUGGCUGUCCUACAGCCACCAAGGAAACUUCCCUUUUCUGUGCCUCUUGGCAGGACACACAGUCCACGCUUCCCCCAGGGAGCGAGCGGCAGACCAUCUGCGCCCCAGAAGGAAGCGGUCAGCCGAGCGGGCACGGCGCGGACGCCCGGCUGCUGGUGGGACUUGGCCCGGCCCGCGCCUCCCGCCGCCAGGGAAGAAGGUCUCCAUCCCUAAGACAGGAAGUGUCUCUUUCCUCCCGGGCCUUCCUGUGACUCCAGUUCCCAUCACGUGGUGGGGACCCGACACAGAGGCGGCAGCAGCACCACCUCCGUGGCCCGCCCCCUCGGCCCCCGACAGAGGGAGUUCCCAAGCGUGUCCCACCGCCGAGAUCACGGCCAGGGACAGCCCGGGGUCCUGGCCAGCUCACGAUGCCCUUCUCAGCAUUCACACUUGCACCCCAUCCUCUCUCUCUCUUGCUCCUCCACUCGGUCUUGUGUCACACGCCUGA
rnacentral:lncRNA from 1 species